AUUGAACGCUGGCGGCAGGCUUAACACAUGCAAGUCGAGCGAGCGGCGGACGGGUGAGUAAUGUCUGGGAAACUGCCUGAUGGAGGGGUAUAACUACUGGAAACGGUAGCUAAUACCGCAUACCAUCAGAUGUGCCCAGAUGGGUUUAGCUAGUGGGUGGGGUAAUGGCUCACCUAGGCCACGACCCCUAGCUGGUCUGAGAGGCUGACAGGCCACACUGGAACUAAGACACGGUCCAGACUCCUACGGGAGGCAGCAUGGGGGAAUAGUGCACAAUGGGCGCAAGCCUGAUGGAGCCAUGCCGCGUGUGUGAAGAAGGCCUUCGGGUUGUAAAGCACUGUCAGCGGGGAGGCGUUACUCGCAGAAGAAGCACCGGCUAACUCCGUGCCAGCAGCCGCGGUAAUUC
rnacentral:rRNA from 1 species